AGUGAACGCUGGCGGUAGGCCUAACACAUGCAAGUCGAACGGCAGCACAGUAAGAGCUUGCUCUUACGGGUGGCGAGUGGCGGACGGGUGAGGAAUACAUCGGAAUCUACUUUUUCGUGGGGGAUAACGUAGGGAAACUUACGCUAAUACCGCAUACGACCUACGGGUGGAAGCAGGGGAUCUUCGGACCUUGCGCGAUUGAAUGAGCCGAUGUCGGAUUAGCUAGUUGGCGGGGUAAAGGCCCACCAAGGCGACGAUGCGUAGCUGGUCUGAGAGGAGGAUCAGCCACACUGGAACUGAGACACGGUCCAGACUCCUACGGGAGGCAGCAGUGGGGAAUAUUGGACAAUGGGCGGAAGCCUGAUCCAGCCAUACCGCGUGGGUGAAGAAGGCCUUCGGGUUGUAAAGCCCUUUUGUUGGGAAAGAAAAGCAGCAGGUUAAUACCCCGCUGUUUUGACGGUACCCAAAGAAUAAGCACCGGCUAACUUCGUG
rnacentral:rRNA from 1 species